AGCAGCCGCGGUAAUUCCAGCUCCAAUAGCGUAUAUUAAAGUUGCUGCAGUUAAAAAGCUCGUAGUUGAACUUCGGGGUUCACCCAUUGGUCAGGCUUAAUUGUCUGUACUGGUGAGAUGAGUCUCUACCCUCUGAGGAACUUUCAUGCCAUUUAUUUGGUGUGAUCGGAAAUCAGGACUGUUACUUUGAAAAAUUGAGUGUUUAAAGCAGGCUAACGUCUGAAUACAUUAGCAUGGAAUAAUGAAAUAGGACGGACUGAUUCUAUUUCGUUGGUUUCUAGGAUCACCGUAAUGAUUAAUAGGGAUAGUUGGGGGCAUUAGUAUUCAAUUGUCAGAGGUGAAAUUCUUGGAUUUAUUGAAGACUAAACUACC
rnacentral:sRNA from 1 species